rnacentral:lncRNA from 1 species
UAAUAGAACACUAACAAUGCUAAACAAGCUUUAAUCAAAUUCAGAGAAACCUCAAAAGAAUUCCAAAGAAAAAAUAAGAAAUCUUAAAGAAAUAUUAGAAUAAUUAAAAAUAUAUCUCAAACACAUCUCAAUUCAAUCUUAAUUUAAUUCUAAUUGAAAUCUUAUUAGACUUCAUUCAAACUUUAGGCCAAAACUAAUUAAAUCUUAAAUCCUAAACAAACUUAAAUAAAAUCCUAAAUUAUAAAUCAAAUCCUAAUCAAAUCCUAACCAAACCUUAAAUCCUAAACCAAAUCCUAAUCUCUAAAUCAAACCCUAACCAAACUCUAAACCCUAAACCAAAUCCUAAUUCUAAAUCAAACUCUAACCAAAUCCUAACCAAAUCCUAAUUCUAAAUCAAAUCCUAACCAAAUCUUAAUCUUAAAUCAAAUCCUAACCAAUUCUAAACCAAACCCUAAAUUCUAAACCAAAUCUUAACCAAAUCCUAAUCCUAAAUCAAACCUUAAUCAAACCUUAAAUCCUAAACCAAAUCCUAAUCCUAAAUCAAACCCUAACCAAAUCCUAACCAAAUCUUAACCAAAUCCUAAUCCUAAUUCUAAACCUUAAACCAAAUCCUAACCAAACCCUAAUCCUAAAUCAAACCCUAACCAAAUCCUAACUCUAAAUCAAAUCCUAACCAAGUCCUAGUAAUUUCUAUAAUAGAUUUAAACCUCAAUAACUAAUGAAUGAACCGUUGAACUUAAUUCAAAUUUUUUAUACUUCUUAAAAAUUAAGUUGAAAACAAGCACAAAAAAAUUGAAAAGGAUCGGAAUUAC